rnacentral:rRNA from 1 species
AGCAGCCGCGGUAAUUCCAGCUCCAAUAGCGUAUAUUAAAGUUGUUGCAGUUAAAAAGCUCGUAGUUGAAUUUCAGGCCUGGCUGGACGGUCCGCCCUUCGGGUGAGUACUGUCUUUGGUCGGGCCCUACCUUCUGGCGAAGCGUCAUGGCCUUAACCGGCCGUGGCGGGGAACCAGGACUUUUACUGUGAAAAAUUAGAGUGUUCAAAGCAGGCAAUCGCUUGGAUACAUUAGCAUGGAAUAAUGGAAUAGGACAAUGGUUCUAUUUGUUGGUUUCUAGGACCGUUGUAAUGAUUAAUAGGGAUAGUUGGGGGCAUUAGUAUUCAAUUGUCAGAGGUGAAAUUCUUGGAUUUAUUGAAGACUAACUACUGCGAAAGCAUUUGCCAAGGAUGUUUUCAUUAAUCAAGAACGAAAGUUAGGGGAUCGAAGACGAUCAGAUACCGUCGUAGU